rnacentral:rRNA from 1 species
UGGCGAACGGGUGAGUAACGCGUGAGGAACCUGCCUCAAAGAGGGGGACAACAGUUGGAAACGACUGCUAAUACCGCAUAAGACCACAGCACCGCAUGGUGCAGGGGUAAAAACUCCGGUGGUAUGAGAUGGACCCGCGUCUGAUUAGGUAGUUGGUGGGGUAACGGCCUACCAAGCCGACGAUCAGUAGCCGACCUGAGAGGGUGACCGGCCACAUUGGGACUGAGACACGGCCCAA